UACGAAGGGGGCGAGCGUUGUUCGGAUUUACUGGGCGUAAAGGGCGCGCAGGCGGCUCAUUUUGUCAGGCGUGAAAGCCCCGGCUUAACCUGGGAACUGCGUUUGAUACGGAUGGGCUAGAGUUCGGGAGAGGAGAGUGGAAUUCCCAGUGUAGAGGUGAAAAUUCGUAGAUAUUGGGAAGAACACCGGUGGCGAAGGCGGCUCUCUGGACCGAGACUGACGCUGAGGCGCGAAAAGCGUGGGGGAGCAAACAGG
rnacentral:rRNA from 1 species